UUUUUCCAUGGUUCGGCCACCGUCGCCGACUCGCUGUGGCCACGGCCCGUCGUGGCGAUCGAGGGAAUCGCGGCGCUUCUGUAUCUAGGGUUAGCAUGCGAGCAGUCCUCAGCGCCAUCGCCAACCACGUCGGAGCGGGAGGCGUUGCCGCCUUGCCGGAUGAUAUCUGAUGGCCGUUCUGAAGCCUCGCGAAGUCGCCGUUGGCGAAAUCGGGGUGGUCGUUGACUCGUUGCAGCUCGUCAUUGCCGACGCAAAGUAGGUCAGCGCAGGAAGGGAGCAAGGUCCAAGGGGGUAGUUUUCCUCGAAGUCCACGCUGGGAAUUUCGGCUGAAGAUCCGAAUGUUCGUCGUGUCUGCAAUUUCCACUCUAGUUGAGGCUGCUCGUCAAUGCGAAAUGCUUUGAUGACCACGGCGCGCUUGGAUCUCCUCUAGUGGCCUAAUUCAGCUUCCUCUCCUUGCCGUGUCGAGAUCUUCUAUCCGUGACUUUACCACCAAAGGAACUGUCUACAACAAAGCCAGCCACGCCAGCCAGAGUCAGCCCGCCUACCACUCCAGGCACAGUCAGCCCGCCUACUACCAAUGAGUAGUAUGCAGUAGUGUUAUUUUGGAAUACUGAUGCGAAUGGUGUUAUUAAAUGUAUGCAGUAGUGUUAUUUUGGAAAACUCAUGCUCUGGAUGCGAAUGCUGUUAUUAAAUGUAAAUAAUUCAGUGUUCGUUCUUGUCGCCCUGCGAGAAACAAUGUUAUCUAAUGAUGUUAAAACAUGUUCUGUUUUCUACUCCCUCUGUCUUAGAAUUGUUGUCUCUUUGAAGUUCAAAUUUUCUUAGAAUUA